rnacentral:rRNA from 1 species
ACGGGUGAGUAACGCGUGGGUAACCUACCCUGUACACACGGAUAACAUACCGAAAGGUAUGCUAAUACGGGAUAAUAUAUUUGAGAGGCAUCUCUUGAAUAUCAAAGGUGAGCCAGUACAGGAUGGACCCGCGUCUGAUUAGCUAGUUGGUAAGGUAAAGGCUUACCAAGGCGACGAUCAGUAGCCGACCUGAGAGGGUGAUCGGCCACAUUGGAACUGAGACACGGUCCAAACUCCUACGGGAGGCAGCAGUGGGGAAUAUUGCACAAUGGGCGAAAGCCUGAUGCAGCAACGCCGCGUGAGUGAUGAAGGCCUUCGGGUCGUAAAACUCUGUCCUCAAGGAAGAUAAUGACGGUACUUGAGGAGGAAGCCCCGGCUAACUACGCGCCAGCAGCCGCGGUAAUACGUAGGGGGCUAGCGUUAUCCGGAUUUACUGGGCGUAAAGGGUGCGUAGGCGGUCUUUCAAGUCAGGAGUGAAAGGCUACGGCUCAACCGUAGUAAGCUCUUGAAACUGGGAGACUUGAGUGCAGGAGAGGAGAGUGGAAUUCCUAGUGUAGCGGUGAAAUGCGUAGAUAUUAGGAGGAACACCAGUUGCGAAGGCGGCUCUCUGGACUGUAACUGACGCUGAGGCACGAAAGCGUGGGGAGCAAACAGGAUUAGAUACCCUGGUAGUCCACGCUGUAAA